rnacentral:misc_RNA from 1 species
AGGUCUCAUGGUGUAGUUGGUU